rnacentral:rRNA from 1 species
UACGGAGGGUGCAAGCGUUAUCCGGAUUUACUGGGUUUAAAGGGUGCGUAGGUGGGCAGGUAAGUCAGUGGUGAAAUCUCCGGGCUUAACCCGGAAACUGCCAUUGAUACUAUCUGUCUUGAAUAUCCUGGAGGUAAGCGGAAUAUGUCAUGUAGCGGUGAAAUGCUUAGAUAUGACAUAGAACACCCAUUGCGAAGGCAGCUUACUACGGGAUUAUUGACACUGAGGCACGAAAGCGUGGGGAUCAAACGGG